rnacentral:rRNA from 1 species
GGCUCAGAUUGAACGCUGGCGGCAGGCUUAACACAUGCAAGUCGAGCGGGGGAAGGUAGCUUGCUACUGGACCUAGCGGCGGACGGGUGAGUAAUGCUUAGGAAUCUGCCUAUUAGUGGGGGACAACAUCUCGAAAGGGAUGCUAAUACCGCAUACGUCCUACGGGAGAAAGCAGGGGAUCUUCGGACCUUGCGCUAAUAGAUGAGCCUAAGUCGGAUUAGCUAGUUGGUGGGGUAAAGGCCUACCAAGGCGACGAUCUGUAGCGGGUCUGAGAGGAUGAUCCGCCACACUGGGACUGAGACACGGCCCAGACUCCUACGGGAGGCAGCAGUGGGGAAUAUUGGACAAUGGGGGGAACCCUGAUCCAGCCAUGCCGCGUGUGUGAAGAAGGCCUUAUGGUUGUAAAGCACUUUAAGCGAGGAGGAGGCUACUCUAGUUAAUACCUAGAGAUAGUGGACGUUACUCGCAGAAUAAGCACCGGCUAACUCUGUGCCAGCAGCCGCGGUAAUACAGAGGGUGCGAGCGUUAAUCGGAUUUACUGGGCGUAAAGCGUGCGUAGGCGGCUUAUUAAGUCGGAUGUGAAAUCCCCGAGCUUAACUUGGGAAUUGCAUUCGAUACUGGUGAGCUAGAGUAUGGGAGAGGAUGGUAGAAUUCCAGGUGUAGCGGUGAAAUGCGUAAAGAUCUGGAGGAAUACCGAUGGCGAAGGCAGCCAUCUGGCCUAAUACUGACGCUGAGGUACGAAAGCAUGGGGAGCAGACAGGAUUAGAUACCCUGGUAGUCCAUGCCGUAAACGAUGUCUACUAGCCGUUGGGGCCUUUGAGGCUUUAGUGGCGCAGCUAACGCGAUAAGUAGACCGCCUGGGGAGUACGGUCGCAAGACUAAAACUCAAAUGAAUUGACGGGGGCCCGCACAAGCGGUGGAGCAUGUGGUUUAAUUCGAUGCAACGCGAAGAACCUUACCUGGCCUUGACAUACUAGAAACUUUCCAGAGAUGGAUUGGUGCCUUCGGGAAUCUAGAUACAGGUGCUGCAUGGCUGUCGUCAGCUCGUGUCGUGAGAUGUUGGGUUAAGUCCCGCAACGAGCGCAACCCUUUUCCUUACUUGCCAGCAUUUCGGAUGGGAACUUUAAGGAUACUGCCAGUGACAAACUGGAGGAAGGCGGGGACGACGUCAAGUCAUCAUGGCCCUUACGGCCAGGGCUACACACGUGCUACAAUGGUCGGUACAAAGGGUUGCUACACAGCGAUGUGAUGCUAAUCUCAAAAAGCCGAUCGUAGUCCGGAUUGGAGUCUGCAACUCGACUCCAUGAAGUCGGAACCGCUAGUAAUCGCGGAUCAGAAUGCCGCGGUGAAUACGUUCCCGGGCCUUGUACACACCGCCCGUCACACCAUGGGAGUUUGUUGCACCAGAAGUAGCUAGCCUAACUGCAAAGAGGGCGGUUACCACGGUGUGGCCGAUGACUGGGGUGAAGUCGUAACAAGGUAGCCGUAGGGGAACCUGCGG